AAAAGGAAUAGUGAGAGUUUGUGGUAGUGUAAGGGAGGGCGUAAAUCACUUGCAGACAAAUUUGAGUAUGUUAUGCAUGGAAAGCUGUAUAAGAUCUCCGAAGAUUCUGGAACCAACGUCAAAGUCUUUUGUGCAGAGAG